CUGCCUCUAUCAAGUUUAUGUCCCAUUAAGUGCUUCAGUGGCCAUAGGAUUACCAGCAGAGUGGUAUGUUGUUCAUUUAUUUUCCCUGGGACUUGGUCUCCACAUGUACAUGGCCCUCGUGAGCAUACACAUGACUUGGUUCCACCAAUAUAGCUUCAUUCAACCUUUAAGACAACAACAGGAAAUAAUUUCUUAUUGCCCAAAGAUUUCAGCUCACUCUGACCUUCAGAGCUCCUCAGUGCCUGCAUGCUCAGCACACUGUGUUCUGGGGGCAACGUAAAGGUGGAUCUUACGGUUACAUCCUGAUUAGUAUGUCCAAAUGGGGGCCCAAGCACUUCCUGCACUGCUGAGAAUAGCUCCAACAUGCACACAGUUUUAUUAUUACGUCUAUAUCUGUUGGUUUUUUUUUUUUUUUUUUUCAUUUCUCCCCACACACACCCUGGUUUUGGCUGCAACAGAAAAUAAUGGGUCUGUGGGUGGAUUCAAGAUGUCAGAUAGAGAGAACAAGCACCGCUGCUCACUUUGUAGUAAGGCAGGGAACGGUAUUAAAGCAGCAGAUAUCAAGGAGCAGGGCCGCAGCAGCAGUAGCUCAUCCAAAGCAAUAACAACGCAUGAAGGCAAGCCAUGGCAACUGAAGGAAGGCUGGAAUCUAGCAUACCCAUGGUCUUGUUCUUAUUAUUACAACACAGCGUGACUAAAAAUAUCAAACCAAACAAAAGAAAUUCCUGCAGGCAAGGGGUAAGAGAGGAGGCCGACCACUGCUGGAAAUGGAACUUAUUGUUCACCUAAGUAGUGCAGCGGGGAACAGAAAUCACAGAAGCAAAGGCCAAGAUCAACAGCAGGAGGAGCACUGGAAGUAACAACAAUGUUCCUGAACAAGGAGCACAGACUCCAGAAGGGCUGAGAACAGUCAGAAAAGGAGCUGCAAAACUUGCUGAUAGUUUGAAGGCAAGGAUGGGCUGACCGCAAAAGACUCACAUGUCUCAACUCAGAUAAAGUAUCAGGGAGGAUCUUUCAAAACAACUCCGUGUUGAUCUAAACUUACUUCAACUGAAGUCAACAAUCAAACUCCCUGUGAAAGAAGAAUCAGUGACUUUGAAAACGAUACUCACAAAGCCUUAUAGAAAAAUACUUCCAGUGUCUUUGAUCAUGUAAUUGAGAUUGGAGUUUAACAACAUUAAGAUUCGCAAGACUUCUUCUUGGACUUAAAUAUUGACUCCUACACUUAAUUACUGGCUAAAUAACUCCUAUGCUGCCUAAAGAACUGUACAGUUCACAGACUUCUUUUAUUUCAUCUCAACAACAGGACAAAUCAAACCAACCCUAUGUGGACUUCUUCACAUAACCAGAUGAGACAGCCCAGUUUGUAGCUCCUGAAUAUUUAAAUACUUUAAAUUGAGAAUUGGAAAAGGUACAGCUUAAGGUACAGUCAAGUUUUCAUAUUCAUACAUAAAAUGAACUGAUGAACUUUGGAAAAUCCAUACCCCCCAGCUUGUAUCAUCUUAGAUCCCAGAUUUUCUGCAUCUGACGUGAUUUGGCAUGGCUAAGUGCCAGUCCUUGGGAAAAACCACAAACUGCUUUGGAAAUGUUGCUGAUGAGGAAAGAAAUGUAACAUCACCAUGAAUUACCCUAAGAAACAUGAGUCUAAACUUGUAUUAUAGCUUGAUCUCAUCGGCUCACUUUAAACCUGAAACUCCAUUAAAAGACCUCCUCAAGGAAACUGUUCUUAAACCUAAAGCUAAAACCUGUUAAUUCAGAUACUGCUUUAAAGAUUCUCAUUGUAACUCAAAAAAAAAAAAAAAAAAAAAACCCAACAGAUUUCCAUUCAGUUUUGUUUCAAAACGUUCAAGUGUCCAUCUACAACAUAUCUGCCAUUGCGAGGCAAAAGAUGGCUGAGUGUCUCACCGUGCGCUUUUGCUAUCAGCAGUCCUCUCCUACCAACAGCCUCUGCACACUUUCAGGUUAUCUGCUCAUAAAACAGGUCUACAGAGGCAACAGUCAGACCUCCUUUUUAAGAAGUGGUGUUUCGCAGAAAUGGUCGUUCUGAAGUACGGACAGUUUUAUUUCAUGUUUUAUUAUCAUCCUAAAAAGGAUUUCUUUAACAUGCGAUGUCUAUGCAACACUUUCCAUUACUUUAAUAAUGCCAGUGCCGUAUAAGUAUUAAUUUUAGCUGGCUAAGGUUUUGGGACAUGUAGAAAUUUAUAUAUGACUUCAUAGAACCUUUUUUUUUUUUUUUUGGUAGGAAAUUUAGGAUUUUGUUGUUGUUGUUGUUGUUGUUAUUUUUUGUUGAAAAGUAAUAACAAGGUUUUGCAUUUUUGAAGGACCUUUUCUUCCAUUUAAUUUUACUGUUGGGAUAUUCUUGGAGUAGUAUCUUAGCAAUCUCAAUGAAUACAAAAAUCAGGAAGGCACAGAGGUCCUCGCUAAAACAAAUACCUUCUGAUAUAAGUAAAAUUAUAUGGCCUGAGAGGAGUGAGUACCUUAAAGGAUUUAGCUAAUAAAAACAAUGAAGUCUUCACAUUUAACUGCAUAUUCCCUUUGAAGCACAGAAACUAUGGCAAAAUUCCACUGGAAAUAAUAACAAAAUAAGGAAUGUUGAAUAUACACAUACUUAAUAUGAGAAAAUAGGAAUUGAGAUAUUUACUUCCAAAAUUAACAUUGUAGGAAACUGUUUUGCUUAAAGGCAGGUGUAACAGAUUAAAGAAGUGAACUUAAUUUGUGAUUAUUAUUAUUUUUGAACAAUAAUGGAAGGGUGUAAUACUGGAAGGGAAUAUUCCUAACAGAAUUCAUCAGAUUUUUUAAUUACAGUAAAAAGAAAAAUCACAUCAAGCCAAGCAAUCAUUACAUAGAAUAACUUAGCUUUAGGUCUGCUUUUAGAAGUAUUUUAUGAGAAACAUCAAACAAGACAGGAAGAGAGUUGCUGUCACAAGAUGCCCUUUGCUGGGUAGGACUCCUCAAGAGAUGGACGCCUCCUACCCCAUGCCAACAUCUGCUCAGAGCACACAGCUGGGGCAAGAACUUUUCCUAAGUCACCUCUGCCAUGGGGAUCAGGUGUCCUGAACCUCCAGCAAGCUUGUAAACGUGAGGGAAGCUCUCCCAUUUUGGAGGAGCUGUGAGCCAUAGCUGUAGAGCUCAAGGAACCGUUUCUGUCUAUUAGGAACUGAAACAAACAACUUCAGUGGGAUCUUAAUGGGAAAAGCCCACUUGAAAAUAGGAUUGCCAGGAGCAGCUGUCUGAAUUUAAUCACCGAGAAGGCCUCAACACUGAUGGGAUGAAACAGAGUUAGGACAUGUGGGAAAGAUGUGCUGUCCCCAGGAAAAGAAAAGAAUGUACUUCAGGGAUGUGAGAGGAACACUACUUCCAGCAUCAAAAAAAGAGUCCUGCAUUAUUAAAACUGAAGCCUUCCUUGAAGUGUAUGUCUUUGUGUUUCCAGGGCCAAAAUGUAGUCUAAUACACUAGAUUUAUUAGAGUAAAAGCAGUUUUAAAAGGACAGGAUUUAAAACAUCACUGUGUUAAAAAUGUUUCAAAAUAUUAGGCAGAUGUUGAUCACCAAACAAGUUCACCAAAUCCAACUAUUUCAAAUUGUAUCGUUAGUACACAGUACAGACAUUCCCUGAAAGCAUCCUGCAAAUCUGUGUGUGCAUAUAUUCCAAUCUGUAUAAAAUCACAGCAAUAUUCUGAAAUGAUGCAUUACAUUGUAAUCCUCCCAAAAUAAUAACAACCUAUCAUUGAUUGGGCACAUAUUUCAAAAUGGAAUGUUUUCAACUGACUUCAAUAACUUACAAACAGUUGAAGUAGAUUUGCUUCAUUUAAAAAAAAAAAAAAAAAAAAAAAGCAAAGUCAAGACCUUUCUUGCCAAGAUGUAACCUAGAGAAUAUUUUGACAGCUAAAUUAUAAACUAUGAGAACCAGGGGAGUUGUUAUGGACCAUCAACUAUAGUGAAGGCAGGGAGUGUUAUUCAAUUAAUCAUUUUACUCAUUAGAGAUAAGUAAAAGCCAAAAUAAAGUUAAUCAAAGUCUUUUAUAGCCUGUGUUUAGAGCAGCUCCCUGUGUCUUGAUGAAUUCUUCUUGUGUAAGGAACAAGGUUUCAAAGACAGAUCAAUAAACAAAAUCCUAAAGUCCUGAAGAUUAACACCUUUCUCUAGCUAUAAGUCAAUCAGGAAAUAAUCUCCAAAAGAAAUGAAGUCAACACAAGUUCAGUGGGACUUUAACAUGUGUGUCCCAAAUUGCUAGAUUUAAGUCGUUAUAUUUUUCCAAGCAGCUAAUUUUCCUUUUUUGAAGUACUCACAGAAGGUCAGGGCUAGUUUAAACAUCAAAGCUCUGUGAAUUAAACAGUUUCAUAGAAAACAGAGGAAGAAAACUUUCCUGAAGAAAGACUGUACGCGGAUGUGACAUGGCCUGCCUUCUGUCCAGGACAAACUGUACAGCAGAGAAAUCAGUCCUUCUGCAUGGACACAUUGCAGCAGGGCCGAAGCAUAGUGUACUUUAGGGCACAGAUGUGCAUAGGCAUACAAUACAGCCCCUACCCCAAAGGUAUUUUAUUCCUGAAAAAAAACCAACCCUUUGCAAGUUCAUUGCUUGACUAAUUGCAUGCUUUCAGCCACUGGCUUAUAUUUUGUGAUUUUUUAUUAACAUAUUCUAUAAGGUUUCAACCCAUGGCAGGAAAGACAAUACUUAACUGUGAUAUACAUGCAUACAUGAUAUACAUGAUGUAUAUGAUGAAUACUUAUGAUAUGAAUGUUAACUGCUAAAAAAUAACCCAGAACUGAGGGACUCUGUAAAUGGAGAUAGCUUUAGUUUUUCUCUCUCUAUAUAUAUAUAUUUGUCUUUUCUUUUUUAAUCCUUAUCUAAGGCAAUGCCAUUUUGACAGCUAUCUUCAAAUGUCUCUUCAACAACUGCUGAAGUAUUGCUAAGUAUUGUCUUUGGGAAUGUUAAGAGAAGGCACUCAGCAGAGUGCAGACAAGUCCCUUUGGCUUGACGACUGAGCCAAGAGUCUAGCAAAAUCAAAUUUACUUCUUUGGCCAAAUUUAGGAAUCCUGUGAUAAUGGUGAAGCAAAAAUUCUUGCAAUUUUCUUUCAGAAUCUGCAAAAUCUUAAGAUAUACAGCGCUGGACAAAAUAACAGAACUUUGAUUUAAAAAACUGGCUAAAGGUGGUAUCUGUAUAUGUACAGCUAACUUGCUCCCCCAGACACUUCUUAAAUCUGUUUGCCAGAAUGACUGCCUUCCAUUUGCUGUUGCAUCAAAUUUAUGAAACAUUAUUCAGCAAAUCACAGGUAUGUCUAUCCACUGAAGAUAUACUCCUAUCCACAAGCCUGUUGAAGCCCUAGUCAUGCUGAGCUGAUAUUGAGAAACAUUUCCCAGAAGUACUCGGCCCGUUUCUCCAAGCUAAAUGCCUCAGCAUGGCUCUGCACUGCAUGACUCAUGCUGGUGGGACUCCACUAAUUUCGCUGGAAUUGCAUCAGCGGUGAAGUCAAGGGAAGCAGUGAUAAAUCCCAUUUAUUUAUUUAUUUUGCCUAUGCCAUCUCUGCUACUAAGCUUUAGAAGUGUAAAUGGUAAAAAAAAAGAGCAAAUUUAAUACCACUAAGCAUAUGUGGAAGCUAUGUUUUAUUUUACACACACAGUAUUACUUUCAAGAACUGGCCUCCAGGAGUCACAUUCUUCAUACAAAGGAAAAGAAAAGGAAUUCUGUGACUUGCCUGACCAUUUCUAACAUCACAAAGGUAUCUAAUUUACAGCGAAGCCCCCGGGACCGCUGUCAUCGGCACUGGUAGGAGUGAGAUCACAGCCCGAGGAUUCAUUCAUUUUCUGAGAAAGUAGAUUUUAGUACAGCAAAGAACUCACAUAAGGACUUCUAUGAAGAAUAAGUUCCUUGAUCAAAAAUAAGAUGGUACAUCACCUUAGAGGGCAGUCAUCUGGAUCUGAAGCAAGAGUGAAUGACUCUCCCUAGACUUCUGGGGGGAAUACAGGCAUCUAGUGAUGGCACUGUUUCUUUCCAAGUCUAUUUCUUGAGUAAAAAUCCUCUCUCUGAAACCUCCAUACGUAGUGCCAGAAAUGAACCAUUACACGUCGGGGCAGCACACAACUCCUCAGUGCACACAUACACACACACAAGCUGAUUUGUGCUUAUACCACAGAUAGCUCCAUCAGUCCAAUUCAAUUUCAAGAUGCACAUCAGCUCUAUUAGUUUAGGUGAUGCACUGGUCAGGUACCCUAUAUUCAGUGACUGCGUGGUGCCCAUUUCUGAGGCUACCAAACAGUCUAAGCAGAUUUUUCGUUUGUUUGUUUUGUUAAAGAAAUACUGUGAGGAAAUAAGCCAAUCUGCAGUGAGAAAAAGCUACCUUAUCAGGUUACAGCAACUAAAAACUCUGUAUGGAGGAAGAAGUUUAGGGAUUACAUUUCUAGAGGAAGUGGAGGCUACUCAUUUUGGUUAGGAGCCUAUUCCUUCCAAUAGUUACACAUGAAAUUCAGUUAAGUGAUAGUUACUUCUGUAUGCACACACUUUGAUACAAGUGACCCCAAAGUACCCACAGGUGGGCACGUGAACAUUAAGUGACCCAGUGGUGGGAACUCACUAAAAGAGCUGUUUUUCAGCUCAAAACUGUGCAGCACGUGGAGGCUAUAAAAGUGUACUACAACAAAAACACUAAACUGUAUUGCAUGGUUAACACACGCCAUCACAGUGAAGCCCUGUAAUGCAUCCUUUGCCACUUUUUCUCAUAUUAUGAGAAUACUUUUUAAGGGCUUCAUCAUCCCCAGCAGCAGAAACUGCCUUCUGGAAAGAACAAGACCCGAAGCAUUAUCUGAUAUUAUCUGUUCACCUGCAGAGUAUGUGCAUGAAAGGCAACAACACAACUCUGCUCCUUUGGACGUGAGAUGGGGCAAUUAAGAGAAGAGAAUACACAGUAAAUCUCCAGAGCAAUUCCUUUCUCAGCCCUUCUGCUAAGUAUUCAGAUUGGAAAAAGAUUUUCAGAAUUACACGGGGAGGAGUCCAAAAUUCAGUUGAUCAACAGCCAGUGAUUCAGAUAUUAAAUUUUUUGUGAUCCAUCGCUUCAUCUCUCUCUGAGAUUGCCUCAUGGGGAAACACUACAAAAUAAAACUUCAAUACUACCAUAAGCUCCAAAUAAAGCUUUUCUCUUUGAUUGCCUCUAUCUCAUCUGUCUGCUUAGAUUUGUGUGUCUAGUUAAGUGAAUACAGAAGACCAUACACUUGAAAUGAAAACUACACAGAGUACACUCUUGACUUGUUACCAUAAUUUACCUUCUAAGUGGAACCUCUUAUGAGCCUACUCAAUUAUAUUAAAAAUGACUGUGCGUUUAUUUCGACACAGUGUACACACUGAAACACGCAUUCUAAAAUCCCGAGCUGAUGUAAAAUUGCAGAGCCUCAUCAAAAUGCAGAGGGCAUUCCUGAUUUACACCAGCACAUGCAGGGCCCCCAGAACCUUUCACACCGCAACACUUUUCCCGUGGGGAGCAAUACCAGUGCUAAGCAAUAAAAAGAAGUUGGUUUUAUAUCUAAUGUUGAUUUCUUCUCCAAUCUGAGACUUUAUUUCAUGCUUUUUCGUGCAACAAUACCUUGAAUGCACGGCAGAUUUACACUGAAAAACAGAGUUUAAAAAUACUUGUUAAAUGCUGAAGGCUUGACAGUUCCUUUAAAUAAUACUGAAAAAAUGCACGAGAACAUUUUGGUAGUGGAAUGAAAAAUGCUACGGUUUACAGCUCUA
ensembl:lncRNA